rnacentral:tRNA from 1 species
GCGCGGUGCUGGCCGAUUCGGUGUGGUCCAGGUUGCAAUACUGGUAGCUCUGGCUGGCGGCGGGCGCGGCCGUUUCGUGAGCGGGCGCCGCGCA